UACAGAGGUCCCAAGCGUUGUUCGGAUUCACUGGGCGUAAAGGGUGCGUAGGUGGCGGGGUAAGUCUGAUGUGAAAGCCCCGGGCUCAACCUGGGAAGUGCAUUGGAUACUGAGAGACUUGAAUACGGGAGAGGGCAGUGGAAUUCCUAGUGUAGGAGUGAAAUCCGUAGAUAUUAGGAGGAACACCGGUGGCGAAGGCGGCUGCCUGGACCGAUAUUGACGCUGAGACGCGAAAGCGUGGGGAGCAAACAGG
rnacentral:rRNA from 1 species